CAGCCGCCGCGGUAAUACGAAGGGUGCAAGCGUUAAUCGGAAUUACUGGGCGUAAAGCGUGCGUAGGCGGUGAGUUAAGUCUGCUGUGAAAUUCCCGGGCUCAACCUGGGAAUGGCAGUGGAUACUGGCUCGCUAGAGUGUGUCAGAGGAUGGUGGAAUUCCCGGUGUAGCGGUGAAAUGCGUAGAGAUCGGGAGGAACAUCAGUGGCGAAGGCGGCCAUCUGGGACAACACUGACGCUGAGGCACGAAAGCGUGGGGAGCAAACAGGAUUAGAUACCCCCGUAGUCCCUGUCUCUUAUAC
rnacentral:rRNA from 1 species